GACAUGAUGAGAAUAUGUAAUUGAGUCUGAUCUAACAGUGAAGACUCAGAUCCAACUCUGAUCUGCCCUGCC